AAUUGGGGUAAUUCCUCGAAUUGGAGGUAGAGGCUACCAAUUCGAAUAAAAUAGUGGGAGAAACCUUUUGAUUAAAGUCCAAAUCCUUAGGUUUAAUGAAUCAAUUACUAAUUAGGUUAUGAUUUUCUUUUGUGCAGAUAUGGCCACUUCCCUAUCGCUAAGAUCAUUGUUGGACAAUGAUAACUUGGUGGGAUCCAACUUCGAUAGCUGGUACCGAAAGUUGAAGAUAGUCCUGGAGCAUGAACGGAUCCUAUAUGUGAUAAUGGAUCCUGCACCUGAGAAGCCAGCUGUCAAUGCACGUGGAACAGUUAGAGACACUU
rnacentral:lncRNA from 1 species